rnacentral:lncRNA from 1 species
UCUCUCUCUCUCUCUCUCUCUCUCUCUCCCUACUUCUCAUGAGGAGACUUUUGCCUGAAGUUCUCCCUCCCACUAUUACUGGCCAGAGGUGGUUGCAUAACUGCUCACAAAUUACGCAUAUGAGAAAAUAACAACAUUCCCAAUAUUGAUUAAGAUAAUCAGCUUAAACUCCCCAAAGCUGGACCUGACAUUGUUCCCAUGAAGCCUAUUAUCAUGUGGUGAAUGGUGGGAUCUAAAAUAAAGUCUGAGGUCUCUUAGAACGGGAAAUAGAGAGGAAUUUUAGUUUGACUAAUCAAUGUUUAUUCUAAUUAUUAUCUCUCUCCCAUACCGCCUAUAGUGUUUUGGAAAUAUUUCCAGUUGAGCAGCAUUCUUGUGGUAUUAUGUUUCUACAUAUUUACCUCUCGCCUAUCUCCCUCUAGCUUCAAGAUGACCAAAUGGCCCACUCAAUAGCUAUAAGGACGAGAGCUAUACUGGACACAUCAGACAAAAAAAUAUCUUUAGUUACGUUCCUUGUUUCCCCCUGGAUAGUGUGGAUAUAAAAACUGUGUCUCGAGCUUGUUUCCAUAGCAGAUACUACUGUGAAGCUUCACACUCGCCUUGUGUCCUUGGCCCCUGUUAAUUCUGCGCACUGGCCCACACCUGUGAAGAUGAUGCGAGCCAAGGCCCUGUAAGUCCUCCGAGUACGGAUGAAUCCUCCAUUCAUUCUGCUUUCCACUCGGAGAAUGACGGACAGAGAGAGCUCCCAGCCAGCCCUCCAUGAGCAGGGAGAACAGCGGGUUCUCUGUGCCCUACAGUGGCCAUGUUUGCCUGGAGGAGCCAGGGAACAUCUGGUGAGAUUCUGCACCAUAGGGUGGCUGCAAAACAUUGGAUGUUUGAAUAAACGAACCCCGCAACCGCACCACAGAACACUGGAAGAGAGGGGACUCCUCACUCAAAGCUGCUUUCUCCCUCCCUGCUACAGUCUGAGCAGCAGUUAAACUUCAAAUAACCUCUGUGGUUCCUUCCCUCCUAGGGCAUGAACACAAUCAGAGGACAAGUAGACGGGUGUUUCCAGGAGCCAAUGAAAUAUUUUAUUUAUUUCAAUGGGAAAUCAAGCCAGCUGGCUCUUACAUGAAGCUAUCCCCUGGAAUUCACAAAUGCCACUUUCUUCUCCAUCGUGGAAGAAAAGAUACGUUGUAGUUUGGAACAAAGGUGAAACAAAAAAAUCCAAAAUUCCUGAAAAACGGGAUCGACAAAUUUUAGCGGCUGCCCUAACUCCAUGC